rnacentral:rRNA from 1 species
CAGCAGCCACGGUAAUACGUAGGGUGCAAGCGUUAAUCGGAAUUACUGGGCGUAAAGCGUGCGCAGGCGGUUAUAUAAGUCAGAUGCGAAAUCCCCGGGCUCAACCUGGGAACUGCAUUUGAGACUGUAUGGCUAGAGUGUGUCAGAGGGGGGUAGAAUUCCACGUGUAGCAGUGAAAUGCGUAGAUAUGUGGAGGAAUACCGAUGGCGAAGGCAGCCCCCUGGGAUAACACUGACGCUCAUGCACGAAAGCGUGGGGAGCAAACAGGAUUAGAUACCCCCGUAGUCCCUGUCUCUUAUAC